rnacentral:rRNA from 1 species
CCAGCCACCGCGGUCACACGAUUGACCCUAGCUAAUAGAGAUCGGCGUAGAGGGUGUUUAAGAUCUGACACAAUAAAGCUAAACUCCAUCUAAACUGUAAAACCCUAGCUGAUGUAAAAUAAACUACGAAAGUGGCUUUAAAGCUUCUGAACACACAAUAGCCAAGACCCAAACUGGGAUUAGACACCCCACUAUGCUUGGCCCUAAACCUCAGUAGUUAAACAACAAAACUACUCGCCAGAAUACUACAAGCAACGGCUUAAAACUCAAAGGACUUGACGGUGCUUUACAUCCCCCUAGAGGAGCCUGUUCCAUAAUCGAUAAACCCCGAUCCACCCCACCCUCUCUUGCUCAGCCUAUAUACCGCCAUCUUCAGCAAACCCUGAUAAAGGUUACAAAGUGAGCGCAAACGCCUCCCCGCAAAAACGUUAGGUC